CGGCAGCCGUGGGCCGAGCUCGACCCCCUUUCCCCGAGCCACGCACACCGCAGUCCGCCCGGGAGGAGACUUGGCCAUCGCCACGCCAGACUGCCCAGCAGGCUCCUCGUGAGACUCGGGGCGAGCUCCGGGGGCGCAGGGUGCAGGGCACAAGCUGAGGCACUGGGGCACGUGAGCCUCAGUCCCGAGGACCGGGCGCCGGGGACCCUCAGUCCACCGCCGGCCACCACGGCGCCCCGCCCCUCCGCACGCAGGCCCGGCACGAGCUCGCGCACGUGCGCGCGCGCCGUCAGAUCCUGGGUCCUACCUGCGGGAGUGAGGACGGGGCUAGCGGAGGCCGGGCUGCUGAGGUACUUAGGGGAGGAGCCCGAGCCGCCGCUGCCGAAGGAGAGGAGCAUGUCUGCAACUCGAGCCAAGAAAGUAAAGAUGGCCACCAAGUCAUGUCCGGAAUGCGACCAACAGGUGGGCGCCGGGGGCCGGGCGCGCGCAGGCAGGGGCCGUUGCUAGGCUGCCGUUGGGACCGGUCGGGCGGAGCCGAGGGGUUGCCAGGGAAACGCCCGGGCCGGUGGCCAGACUGGAGGCCCCCGGGUGGUCUGACCCGGCUGCGCGGGAGGGGGCGUGGGUUUGUGUCGGGACCCUACGGAGUCGCCUUGCGGGCCGCGGGUGACAGCGCUAGGACCUUAGGGGCCGCGGCCCCAGUGGAGGAGCAAGGCCCCUUCUAGCUCCCUUGGGCUGGCGGGAAUGCCCGGUGUGCCCGACUCCGAGUCCAGGCCCCUGGCUCCGAAGGCUCCGUCCUGCCACACAGGGUUGCUUUGUUCCCAUUUCAGUUGUGUGUGGUGAUCUCCCAAAAUUGCCCAGACAGUGUUUGGGUGGACACUUUAACGUGACGAAAGGGACCCUGAUGUAAUGACGUAAUUCAGUAAAUUGGUGAUUUUAAUAUACUUUAAAAUUUAAUAACCACAGUAAUAAUCUGCUGUAAAGUUUUUAUUUGAAUUUAUACUUUAUCAUUAUUAGCAAAUAUUAAUUGUACAGAAUAACGAGUUUCAUUGUGAAGUAUCCGUGCUUUAUUGAUAACCACUCUCUCUGUUUACAUAUUUUACUGACACACUCCCUACUACUUUUUGUAGUCCUCCUUACCCAACCUUCACUCUCUGUGCCGCAUUUGAGGAAAUGUGGAAUACUUGUAUGAGUCUGGCUUAUUUCGCUUAACGUGAUGAUCUCCAGUUCCAUCCAUUUACCUGCAAAUGACAUAAUUUCAUUCUUCUUUAUGACUGCAAAAUACUCCAUUGUAUUAUAUAUAGCAUUUUUUAAUCCAUUCAUUCAUGGGCAUCUAGACUGAUUUCAUAUCUUCGCUAUUGUAAACAGUGCUGCAAUAAACAUUGGGAAUGCAGGUGUCUCUUUUUUUGCAUGCUAGCAUUGAUUCAUUCUGCUAUAUACCCAGGAAUGAUAUAACUGUAUCGUAUGAUGGUUAUAUUUUUAGAAACCUUCAUACUGGUUUUGGCUUUACUAAUUUACAUUCCCAUCAGCAGUGUGUAAGGAUUCCUCUUUCCCACAUUCUUAGCAUUUGUUAUUUUUUGAUUUCUUACUAGUAGCCAUUCUGGUUGGGGUGAUAUGGAAUCUCAAUGUAGGUUUUUUUUUUUUUUUUUGGUAUCAAGGAUUGAAUUUAGGGGCACUCGACCACUGAGCCGCGUCCCCAGCCCUAUUUUGUAUUUUAUUUAGAGAUAGGGUCUCAUUGAGUUGCUUGGUGCCUAGCUUUUUUUUAAAAUUAAUUUUUAAAAAAAUAUUUUAAAAUUUAUUUAUUUAAAUUAAAUAUAUAUAAAUAUAUGAAGCGCCUAGCUUUGCUGAGGCUUGGGUUUGAACUCAAGGUCCUCCUGCCUCAGCCUCCCUAGCAGCUGGGGUUCCAGGGGUGCUUCAGUCACCACACUGGCUCAGUGUAGUUUUUGUGAUUUGCAUUUCCCUAAUGGCUAAUGAUGUUUACCAUUUUUCAUAUUCUUAUUGGCCAUUUGUGUUUAUUUUGGGAAGGUGUCUGUUAAACUCAUUUGCCCAUUUAUUGAUUGGAUUACAUUUUUUUAGUUCUUUGAAUAUUCUGGAUAUUAAUUCCUGUCAGAUGAGUAGCUGGCAAAGAUUUUCUCCCAUUUUGUAGGCUGUCUUCAUCCUGUUGAUGGUUUCCUUUGCUGUGCAGAAGCUUUUCAAUUUGAUGUAAUCCCACUUGUCAUUUUUUGCUAUUAUUUCCAGAACUAUUGGAGCACUAUGCAGGAAAUGGUUGGUGAAACCAAUAUUUUGAAUUGUUUCCCUUAUGUUUUCCUCUAGUCAUUAGAAAGUUUCAGAACUUAAGAUCUUUGAUCCAUUUUGAGUUGAAUUUUGUACAGGGUGAGAGAUAAGGAUUUGAAUUUCAAUCUUCUACAGAGGGAUAUCCCAUUUUCCCAGCACAAUUUGUUAAAAAGACUAUUUUUUCAUAAAAAAAAAAAAAUUUGACUCCCUUGUUUAGAAUCAGGUGACCUUCAGUGUGUGGGUUUAUUCCUGUGUAUUCUUGUUCUAUUCCAUUGGUCUUAAUGCCUAUUUUUAUGCAAGUACCAUUCUGUUUUUGUUAUUAUGACUCUAGUACAUUUCGAAAUCAAGUAUUGUGGUGUCUACAGCAUUGCUCUUUUUGCUCAGGAUUUCUUUGGCUAUUUUGAAGUCUUUGUGCUUCCAUAUGAAUUUUAGGUUUGUUUUUUCUAGUUCUGUGAAAAAUGUCAUUGGUAUUUGAUAGGUAUUGCACUGACUUUGUCGAUCAAUUUAUAAGGCAAUUUUAACUAUUAAAUUCUCCCAGUCCAUGAACAUGGGAGAUUUUCCACAUUUACUGUCUUACUCAAUUUCUUUCUUCGUUGUUUUAUAAUUUUCAUUGUAGAGGUUCUAGAUCCAUUAUGUCUUGGAAAUUUUGUUUUUCUUAGCCUUUAAAUUUUUUUUUGUAAUUGUAGAUGAACAACAUGACUUUAUUUUAUUUUAUUUAUGUGGUGAUAAGGAUCAAACCCAGUGCCUCACAUGUGCUAGGUAAGUGUUCUGCCACCGAGCUAUAGCCCCAGCCCCAUUUCUUAGCCCUUGAUCAAAACCUUACAGGGAAUGUCAUGAUUUUAAUGUAUUUAGGGAGGUUCAGAGGUAUGGCUUUUCAUUAGGUGCAUCCUCAGUGCAGAAGCCAAAUGGGUCAUUUUUACCAAAAGCAGAAUUGCCUGGUAGCAUUGCUGACAUUCCACCUCUAUCAUACUAAUAGUACCAGAGGAAGGUUCACAAAUGGCUUUGUUCACAUAAAAGUUUUGUUAGUCCUUUACUCAUAUCAUAACCCAGAUUUUUAAAACUGUAUCCUCUGUGAAAGUAUAUAGCAUAUAAUUAUUCUUGACUAGAAAAGUUAUUCAUUUAAAACUCCCUCUUAAAACCAUUUUAAGGCCUCUACUUUCAUGCCACAAUGUGAACCUUACUCUGUUUUUUUCAAAAUAAUUACCUCUUCUCUAGCUUUCUCUCAGCAAGAGAAGUUUAUUGCCUCCUCUUCAUUUCUCUCAGCAGUGUUUUCCGUUUUCAGUGUACAGGUUUUAUACAUAUUUUAUUAAGUUUAUCCCUGUGAAUUUGUUUUCAGGAUGCUAUUUUGAGUGCAAUUGGUUUACAAUUUUUUAUUAUUUUUUUAGUUGUAAUUAGACACAAUACCUUUAUUCCAUUUAUUUAUUUUUAUGUGGUGCUGAGGAUUGAACCCAGGGCUCUGUGCAUGCUAGGCGAGCGCUCUACUGCUGAGCCACAACCCCAGCCCUUGGUUUACAAUUUUCAUUCAUUGCGGAUUAUAUGUAAUGUUGAACUUUUUAUUGUGGUAAAAAUAUAUACUGUUUUCAGGGUUCAUCCAGAUAUGUAGCAUGUGUCAGUUCUUCAUUCCUUUUCAUAGUAAAAUGACAUUUUGUUUAUCCAUUCUUCUAUUGAGGGACAUAAAUAAUACUUGUUGGUUAUUGUGAAUAGUGGUGUUGUGAACAUUCAUGUACAUGUUUUUGUUUCAACACCUAUUUUUACUUUUAGUAUAUACCUAGAAGUGGAAUUGCAAAGGCAUAUGACAAUUUUAACUUAUUGAGGAAUUGCCAGUUUUCCACAGCAGUUGUAUUAUUUUAAAUUCUCAUCAGCAGUGUAAGAAGGUUCUAAUUUUUUCAUAUCCUCAUCAAUACUUCGUUAGUUUUUGUUAGAAAAAACAGUCACACUAGUGUGUGUGAUAUGAGAUAUCAAUUGUGGUUUUAAACUGAAUUUUUCUAUUAAGAACAUUGAGCAUCUUGUGCUUAUUGGCCAUUUGUAUAUCUUACUUGGAGAAAAAUCUUUUUAAAAAAAAAAAAAAACUGUGGUGAGCCGUGUCUGCAGACCGUUGCCGCCAUUAGAAGAUGGCGCCGGUCUCCGUUGUGGAUCUUGGUAAACAACUCCUUAUUAGGGAAAGUUGGCGCGCUGUCCCUCAACACCCUAUGAGAAAACCCCGCGUGGCAGCUUUGGAUUGGACUUGAGUAAGCUUUAUUAGGCUAUGCUUGGGCGCUCGGCGGGGGGUCACUAGAAGAUGAUACAUGAAACAAGGCCUGAAUAAACUGCUGAAAGAAGAAUCCUGUGUCGUGUUUUCCCUUGCCGGCGAGGGGUCGAGACAAAAAACUUUUUUUUUUAGUUGUAGAUGGACAAAAUAUCUUUAUUUAUUUAUUUAUUUAUUUAUUUUUAUGUAGUGCUGAGGAUUGAACCCAGUGCCUCAUAUGUGCAAGGCAAGCCCUCUGCCCCUGAGCUACAGCCCCAGCCCUGAAAUGUCUAAUUUUUUAAAUUGGGUUUUCUUCUUGGUGUUGUUAUAAGAGCUUUUGUACAUUUUGUAUAUUAGAACCUUAUCAGACAUAUUAUUUGAAGAUAUUGGCAAAAACUCAUUGUGUAGGUUUUCUUUUUUAUUUUCUUGAUAGUCUUUUGAUGCUCAGAAGUUUUAAAUUUUGAUGUAGUCCAAUUUGAUGUAGCUGCUUGUGCUUUUAUUGUCACAACUAAGAAAGUAUUUUCAAACCCAAGAUCAUGAAGAUUUACCCCAUUUUUCAUCUAAGAGUUUUAUACUUUCGUUGUUCUAUUAAAUAGGUCUCUAAUUAAUUUUGAGUUAAUUUUCAUUUAUGAUUUAAGGUAAGGGUUUGACUUCCUUGUUUUGUAUAUGGAUAUCUAGUUUUCUUGGCACCAUUGGUUGAAGAGGGGUUUUUUCCCUUAUUGAAUGAUGGUGGCAUUGUUACGGAAAAUCAGUUGACCAUAAAUGAAUUUGAAAAAGAUUGGAAAUAAAAAGUGAAUCCUUCAAUUUUGUUCUUCUUUUUUAAGAUUGUUGUGGCUUCUAAGGAUCCUAUAUAAUUCUAUAUUAAUUUUAAGAUCAGAGUUUGCAUUUUUGCAAAAAAAAGACUAUUGGAAUUUUGGUAGGAUUGCACUGAUUUUAUAGACUGCUUUUUGGAGUAUUGGAAUCUUAAUAUUAGGUCUUUAAUUAAUGUUGUCUUACAUAAAGGGUUGUCUUACCGUUUAUUUACGCUAAGAUUUCAGCAAUGUCCUGUAAUUUUGAGUGUAUAUAAGUCUUGUAUUUCCUUGGUUAAAUUUAUUCCUAAGUGUUUUAUUUCAAUUUUUCCCAGAAGAGACAGGCUCUCAGUAUAUUUAAUAGGCAGGCCUUGAACUCCUGGGCUCAGGUGAUCCUUGAUUCUCCUGCCUUAGUUUCUGUUACUAGUACUCACUGUGGUGCCUGGCUGUGUAUUAUUUUAUUCUUUUUGAUAGUCUUAUAAAUUAAUUGUUUUUUGGAUUGGUCAUUGCUUGUAUAUAGAAAUAAGGCUGAUUUUGAGUUUUUUUUUCUUACAUCUGCCAAUAUUACCUGCAAAUAGAGAUAUUUUUGCUUCUUUUUCAACUUAGGUGCCUUUUUAAAAUUUUUCUUGCCUUAUUGAUCUGGUUAGAACUUCUAGUACAGUGUUGAACAGAACUGCUUAUAACCAAAGCAGAUGAAACUGGAUGCCUUGGUACAUGUUUGUAGUCUCAGCUGCUCAGGAAACUGAGGCAAGAGGAUCAUAAUUUUAAAGGCCAUCCUGGACAAUUUAGCAAGACCCUGUAUCAAAAAAAAUUUUUUUUAAUUGUUUGGGAUAUAGCUUAGUGGUAGAGCACUUGCCUAGGUUGUAGUAGGCUCUGGAUUAAAUCUCCAGUAAAACACACACACACACACACACACAAACAAAAAAAAAGGCUCAGUUUCAUUUGAAAGGAACUCAUUGGGUAUUGUUAAAUUAAAUUUGGCCUAAACCUGACUCCUAUCUAGCUAACCUUGACUUUAGUUUGUAAAUAAGCUGUGACCAACUUAAGUGUAUAUUCUUGUGACAAAUUGCUGAGUCUCAACCAGUCAUGGGCUGCCAAUUGAUCAGAAUACAUGGAGAGCAAGCUGUGCCCUGCUCUGAAUUACUCUGUUGUAUAGAACAGCAGUGCCUAGCCCUGAGUUUUUCCAUUUUGUACUCUAUCAGUUUGCUUUUAGCUAUGCCAUUUUGGUGCAAGGGCUAAGGCAGAAUGACUUGGUGACUUGUCUGGGCAAAUAGAUAACCACCAGACAUUGGACUUAUAAAAUUUGUCAAAAAGAAUAAUAUCCAACUGCACAGCAAGAUCCUAAGGCACAAACUGAUAACAAAUUAGUUUUGCUAUAAUAAUAAUACCCCUGCGGAGUAUCUGAACUAAAUCAGAAGCACAUGGAUGCAUGGGUGUAUAAAACUCUUGAAAGCAGGCCCUAGAAUUUAACAGAUAUAUCAGACCUCUGAAUGGUGCAAUUCCUUACCUAAAACACAUAAAAGUGGGCUGGGGUUGUGGCUCAGUGGUGGAACGCUUGCCUACCACGUGCAAAGCCCUGGGUUCAAUCCUCAGCACCACAUAAAAAUAAAGAAAAUAAAGGUAUUGUGUCUAAUUACAACUAAAAAAUAAAUAUAAAAAAAGAAAAAAAAACACAAAAGGAGAGGCACCUAAGUUAGUGGUAUGAGUGGGUACACUACAAUCCCUCAUCUUGUUAGACCACGAGAUUGACAGGCCACAAACUCCUAACUCCCUAGGUCUUUAGAUCUGAUCAGUCUCCCUGUUUGAUGUGGCCCACUUCAAUACUGCCUGCUGUCCAGACCAUUUGGACUCGAACAGUUUUGUACCCUGAGGGUUCUGUGCCCUGAACAAGUUCUUUGAUUGGUUCUUAAUCUUAUCUAACCCACCUGCAUUGACUCUUUUGCAUAUAUAUUCAGCCCUCUGCCUUUGCUCUCAGUUCUGCCUCUUGGAACCCUGUGACCACUGUUAACCGUUUCUUAGAAGUUUUGUAACUUCUAAAUCACUAUGUAAAGUGUGAUAUGUGACUUGAGUAUUAUAGUUAAUAGUAGUUAAGAUUGGAAUGGAAUAAAAGAAUUGUGAUUGCUUUGGUCAUAACACAAAUGAACCAUGAGUAUUUUGAUGAGUUGAAGUGGAUGAAAGUGAUGUAGCUUGUGAUGUUAUUGUUAUUCAGUAAAUUUUUACAUUGUGGAAAGACAUAAGUGUGUGUGGUAUAUAUUAAUGAUAAUAUAUAUUUAUGUGUGUGUGUGUGUGUGUGUGUGUAUAUAUAUAUAUAUAUAUAUAUAUAUAUAUAUAUAUAUAAAUGAUAUAGCUCACACGGGACUUAUCAUGUCCACAUUUGGGCCUCAUAUUAUGCCCAAAGUAGGCAGUUGAGACCUGUAACUAUUUAAGAUAUUUCUGUAUUUUUUUCUUUCCUUUUUUUUUUUUUUUUUUUUUGUCUGGAAAUACUGCCUACUUAUAUUGAUGGGUGGAGUCCUCUCUUCUUUUUUUUUUUUUCCUGGUACUGGGGGUUGAAACCACAGGUGCUUUACCUCCCCAACCCUACUUUAAAACUUUUUUUUUUUUCCUUGAGAACAGGGUCUUGUUAAAUCGCUUAGGCGGGCCUGGAACUUUCAAUUCUCCUUCUUAAAGCCUCCCAGAUUGCUGGGAUUACAGGUGUGCAUCACUAUACUCUAUGAGCUCAGGUGGAGCUCUCUGAACUUCUGUUGGUUUGGGGUGAUGCCCAAUUCAUUAAUUGUUUUUUGUGUAAGUAAACACUUGUGAGUAUUUUGUUAAAAACAAAAUGUUACAGUAUGUUACAUAUAUUCUUUUUUAAAAAUAUUUUUUAGUUGUUGAUGGACCUUUAUUUUAUUUAUUUGUAUGUGGUGCUGAGAAUCAAACCCAAUGCCUCAUGCAUGCCAGGCAAGUGCGCUACCACCGAGCUACAACCCAGCCCACAUAUAUUCUUUUGAGUAUACCAAAUAUUACAUAAAUUGGAAUACAUCGUGUUAGUUAAAGGAACUAGUAUUCAUUUUAGUAAAAAUAACUGAAGAAAGUAAAAUUGUUUUUUGAUUAUAACGGGAUGCUUUCUAAUUUGGCGGGGGCAGUUUACUGGAGAUUGAACCCAGGGGUACUUAUAACCACUAACCAUGUCCCCACCCCUUCUGAUUUUUCAUUUUGAGACAGGUCUCACUAAGUUGCUUAGGGCCUCGAUAAGUUGCUGAUGCUGGCCUUGAACUUGUGAUUCUUCUGCUUUAGCCUCCUGAGUUGCUAGGAUUACAGGCAUGUGCUACUGCUUGACUCUAAUUUUUUUUUUUAAAGGUGAGGGUUCUUUUUUUUAUUAUUAUUAAUACUUAACUCUGGUUAUGAAACUAUGCUUUAAGUUUUAAAUAGAGGAGCAGGAUGUAUCUCAGUGGUCAAGUGCUUGCCUAGUGUGUGCAAGGCCCUUAAUUUAAUUUCCAGCACUGCCAAAAAACAAAACCAAAACCAAAACACACACACACACACAAAAAAAAAAAAAAAAAAAAAAACCACAAAAUUGUUUUAUUUUUUGGAAUCAGCCUAGAUGCCCUUCAAUAGAUGAAUGGAUAAAGAAACUGUGGUAUAUAUACCCAAUGGAAUAUUACUCAGCAUUAAAAGAGAAUAAAAUUAUGGCAUGUGCAGGUAAAUGGAUAGAGUUGGAGAAUAUCAUGCUAAACAAAGUAAGCCAGAAAACGAAGACUGAAUGUUCUCUCUGAUAAGUGGAUGUUGAUCCAUAAUGUAGGGGCAGGCAUUGGAAAAAUGGAGGAACUUUGAUUGGGCAAAGGGGAGGAAGGAGAAGGGAGGAAGAAUGGGGGGCAGGAGAGAUGGUGAAAUAUGGACACCAUUACCCUAGGUACAUGUAUGACUGCACAUAUGGUGUGAUGCUACAUGGUGUACAACCAGAGAAAGAAAAAUUGUGCUGCAAUUGUGUACAGUGAAUCAAAAUGCAUUCUGCUGUCAUACAGACCCAAUUAGAAUAAAUAAAUAAUGAAAAAGCAAAAACUCCAAACCUCCAAAAUGAAAAAUAAAACCCUCAAAUCCCCCAACAAAAAUAUUAGGAGUAUCAAAAUUGAGACCCUGAUCAGUGUUUUUUACUUUUCAUUUUCAAGGUGUUUCAUAUCUGUUUUUCUUAUCACUCAGUUUACUAAGUCCUUGUGAUGUGUAUAUUUUAUUCAAAAUUAUUACUAUUCUUUUAAUAUUUUUUAGAAUUGUGGUAAAAUAUGCAUAACUACCAUUUUAAUGAUUUUUCAGCAUAUAAUUCAGUAGUGUUAUGUACAUUCAUAGUGUUGUGCAGCCAUCACAACUAUGAAUUUCCAGAACUUUUUCAUCAUCCCGAAGAGAAACUGUGUCCAUUAAAUAAUAACUUCUCAUACUUUUCUAUACCCUACUCCCCUGGUAACCUCUUUUUUUUUUUUUUCCUGUCUCUGAAUUUGCUCAUAGAAGUUGAAUCACAUGAUAUUUGUCCUAUCUAGUAAUUUUUGUUUAUAAGUUUUAAUUUUUACCUUAGUUUUCUCCUAUUUGGUUUUUGGUAUAGAACAGAUUUUUUAUUUUUAUUUUAGAGACUGUUCAUAGAAUAUUUUUUGUUGUAUGUCUACUGACAAAUGAUUUUUGGUUCUUAAAAUAAUAAAAGGUUGAGAAGAAUUAUAGAAUUUUAAAGCCGCUUUAAAAGGAAACAAAAUAAGACAAGGUCUUUUUUUCUUUUCUUUUUUUUUUUUUGACUUUUUUUCUUAAUAGUUUCCUUCAGUCUUACUUUGAAAAUAUAAAAACAACCUGUGUUCAAAGAAUCAUUUAAUAUAGUGCUCCACAAUUUUUUUAUGGUUGCAUGAUUUUUUAAAAAUAUUUUUUAGUUCUAGUUGGAUGCAAUACCUUUAUUUUUUUAAAAAUACUUUUAUUUUAUUUAUUUAUUUUUCUGUGGUGCUGAGGAUCCAACCCAGCACCUGGCACGUGCUAGGCGAGUGCUGUAUCUCCUGCUGAGUCACAAUGCCAGCCCCAUGGUUGCAUAUUUUUUAUGCUUAAUUGAUCAAGUAAAACAAUAAGAACAACAAAUGUGAUAGCAAUACUUUUUUAUCAUAAAUAAAAUUACAAAUAUGCACUUCAUGUGCUCUGUGAGGAGGAAAGAGAGUAAGGUGAAGAAACUUUCAUACAGGGUGCUCAAGGAGCUGUGGACAGGGUUAAGAGAAUGAAUGGAAUCCUGGGUCUAGGUAAAUCUAUAAUUAGAAGAAGGAAAAGCACAAAUACCCAGAGAGUAGAGUCCAUCAUAGUCAUUAAAACCAGCACUCAAAUUUUGCUUUGAUAUUUUUGACAGUUAAGGUUUAAGGAAGAUAUGGUCCUCAAUAUCAUCCUCCUCAUAAAAAUAUUUGCCAUUCAUUCAUGCAAAUACCCUAGCAUGGUGCUGAGUAAUUGUUAGAAAAAUCAACUGGAGUUAGUGAGAGGACAGUGAAUGCCCCCUUUCUGUUCCUAAAAAGCUAGCCAGUUUAGGGAAUGAUGGGAGCAAGUCUGGGCCAGAUGGUCCAUAAACAUGCUGGUUUGUUUGUUUCUUUCUAGAUACACAUGACAGUAAAGUGUAUUUUGAUAUAUUAUACAUACAUAGAAUAAGUAUAACUUGUUCCAAUUAGGAUCCCAUGAUUAUGGUUGUAUAUGAUAUGGAGUUACAUUGGUUGUCUAUUCAUAUGUAAGGAUAGGAAAGAUACGUUUGGUUCAUUCUACUCUCUUUUUUAUUCUCAUCCUCCCUCUCUGCCCUUCAUAGUAAACUUCUAAUCUUCCCCUUUCUUGUUGUGGGUUAGCAUUCACAUAUCAAAGAGAACAUUCUGACUUUGAUUUUUGGAGGGACUGGAUUAUUUCACUUAGCAGUUCCCUUCUUUUACAGUACCAUUCUUUUACUGGCAAAUGCCAUAAUUCUUGUUUAUGAGUGCCCCACAAUUUUAUCAAUAAAUAUUUUAACUUUAAUUUUCCUUCUUAAAUUCCUGGAAAUACAGGAUUAGAAUAAUUUAUCAAUAAUUAUCUUCAACACAAAAUACAAAUUAUAUUGUAAUUAACCCUUGGAUUAAUGCUAUCCAGCUUGUUCAACCCAUUUUAUAAGUGUUUUUACAGUAAACUUUCUUUUCAUAAAUGGAUUUUGUGGAAGUAGUGAUUGUUUUUGUUUGUUGUGGGAGGUGAUAAUUAGUUCAGUAGAUGGGAUGUUUAUAUUAAAUAUUUUCAUUAACUAGUGGAAAUUAACCUUUUUAAUUGAAUAUCAGCAUAUCCUUUAACUAGAAAAGUCUCUGGUAGUUUUGAAUAAGGUCAUAUGAUUUUCCUCAUAUCUUGAAUUUUUUAGAAAAUGUUUUUAGUUGUAGAUGGACAUAAUAGCUUUAUUUUGUUUGUUUAUUUUUAUGUGGUGCUGAGGAUUGAACCCAGUGCUUCACAUUUGCUAGGAAAGUGCUCUACCACUGAGCUACAGUUCCAGUCCUGAUAUGUUGAAUUUUAAGCAAUGAGUUAAUUGUCUUUGAAUUUCAUUUGAACUGAGAUGUAAAAUGAAAAACAAGCAAAUGUACCACACCUAUCUAUGGCAUAUUUUACUUUAAAAAAAUAAUUUUUAGUUGUAGUUUGAAAGAGCCAUGAGUCAUACUUAAUAAAAUAUGGACUUGAGUAUAUCUGGAGUUUAGUUAUGUUUUAUAAAUUAAUUAUUAAGGAUUUUAUUCUCUAAAAUACAGGCUUUUGCAGUAUUUUUUUAAAAAAACUAUUAUUGUUCAUUGUUGUUUUGGCUAUAUUAUUUACAAUUUCAGCAGCAUCUUAAAUAGAUAGUAUGUCUAGGUACAAUGAAAUAGUCUUACAAUAUUUUUAUUGAAAAAGGAAUACUAGAAUUUGUUAGCUAAUUAGACAACAUGUUUAUACACUAGAGUAUUAGGCAUUUAUAAAUACAUGAAUAUAAAGUAUGACAGCUAAGCUUUAUUAGAUAAAAACAGAGAAGAAUUGGCUUUUUUACAAUUUUUUGGCUAUAUAGCAGUUCCUCCUUAUUCUCACGGGAUAUGUUCCAAGGCCUUAUAUAUUUAUUGUUGUUUCCCUAUAUAUAUGCAUACCCAUGUUAAGUUUUAAUGUAUAAAUUAGGCAUAGUAAGAUAUUAAAAGAACUAAUAAAAUAGAACAGAUAAAGGAAUAAACUGAACUAAAAUUGCUAGCAUCACUAUUCUUGUUCUUUGGUGUCAUUAUUAAGUAAAGUAAGAGUUACUUGGAAAUAUGCAUUGCUGUACCAAGACAGUUGGUCUGAUAACCUGGAGCUACUGACUAAUAGGUAGAUAGAAACAGUGAACAAAGGGAUGAUUCACAUCCCAUGUGGCAUGAAACAUGUUGGCAUAAGAUUUCAUGCCAUUCAGGCAUGUAAUUUUAAUUUUAUAAAUUAUUUCUGGGAUUUUUCAUGUAAUAUUUUGAAACCUUGGUUGACUGCCAGUAACUAAAAUGGGAGAAAGUACAAUUACAAAUAAGGGAGAACUGUACUUAUUCUUGCAGAUACUGUUUUGUUGAAAUUCAUUUUGGGGUUUGAUAAAUCUUAAUUCAAGGAUCUUCAUUAUUUGGGGGUGACAUCUCUUCAACAGAUUCUCUUAUAGGGAAUUUAAAUAUUAGAAUAUGGAAAUGUCUGAAUGAAAUCAGUGAAUUGUAUUAAUAUCAAUAUCCUGGUUGUAGGAACUAGGAGUAUGUAUUCACAAGGUCCUAGGUUCAAUCCCCAACAACUCCCCCCCCAAAAUAAAUUCUAGUUGUGGUAUUUAUUAUACUAUUUUUUUUUGCAAGGUGUUACUAUUGGAGGAAACUAGACACAGUAUAUAAGGAGUCUCUGUAGUGUUUCUCAUAACGUGAUGAAUCAAAAUUUUCUUAAAGGAAAAAAAAUGAGAAAAGACUUUCAUUUUUCCUCCCCCUUGAAACAACUGUAAAAAAAACAGGUGAAAUAAUUGAAAUGAUUCUUUUCAAGGCGUUGGACAUUAUGUAGUGAAAGAAUAUUGACCUUGAAAAUUUGAAAAUAGAGUUCUUUUAUUGCCUUAUGUAUGCCCUUGAGAGAAUUUUUUUGUUGUGGCACAGGGAAAGGAAACAGCAGUAACAUGGAAGACUCUACUAAACCUCCAGAAAGACUAAUGAAACAAAAAAACUGAAAAAGUUCCAAAAUUUGGUGUUUUUUUCUUUGUUUGUUCUUUUGUUUUUAAUGUGGUAUGGGGGAUUGAACCCAAGGGCAUUUAAGUAUAUGGCACUUAACACCAGCUGGAGCACAUGAAACCCUGAAGAUCUUCCCUGCUAAUUCAAGCAGUUAAUAUGGCCCAAUAUAAUUUUUUUUUUAAAGAGAGAGAGGGAGGGGGGAGAGAGAGAGAGAGAAUUUUAAUAUUUAUUUUUAGUUUUUCGGCAGACACAACAUCUUUGUUUGUAUGUGGUUCUGAGGAUCGAACCCGGGUCGCACGCAUGCCAGGCGAGCGCGCUACCACUUGAGCCACAUCCCCAGCCCGGCCCAAUAUAAAUUUAAAAAAGGGCCUUGAUGGAUUGAAAAUUGGUAUAUAAGACCCACUUAGAGAAGGGAUUGUUAUCUUCUUGGCUUGCCCAUCUAAUAAUCCAAUUUUACUUUCAUUUUAAACUUGGAAAAAGUAAAUAAUGCCUCACAGUUGAUUGCUGCCCCUUAAUGCUAUAGUUCUAUUUGUCAAGGCCUCCAUACCCAAUAUUAUUGAAAUUAUUGAGUCUUUCUACUAUAUAACUCAUAGGCACUCUGCAUAGGUUUGGCUAACAUAGUUUGAACAGUCCCUAUUACAGGAGUCUCUCAGCUGUAGUUUGCUUUCAUUUUCAGGAAAUAUAACACUUUCCUAGCCACCUAUAAGGUCCCUAUUCCUCAAUAGCCCUGCCAUCACAUACAUCUUUAUAAGCAAGAUCUUAAAAAUAUCCAGCUUUUUCCAAAAACACAGGUAAGACAUAUCAUUGAUAUUAUCUGCCUCUGAAGAGAUUGAUGUGUAACUUUUUGUGUGUGUGGUGCUGGGGCUUGAACCCAGGCUCUUGUGUGUGCUGGGAAAGAGGCCUGAUGAGCUACAUCUCUAACCCCCAAGAGAUUGACUUGUCAAACUCAUUCAAGACAUAUAAAUACUUAAAAAGGAUUUCACAAAAAGAGCAUGGGUUGUUGCCUUAAACAUAGUAUAAGGCCCUGCCAUCUUGGUUAAAUUCUUGAAAAAUUAUUUUGUUAGCUGAGGCCAGCUCUACCCUGACUGUCUAGAAACAGGUAUUAACUCCUCUGCAGGUCUCAUAUAGUACUAUAAUGACUUGUUUAUAAACAAAUUCACAUUCAGUUAAACUGCACACUUUAGUGAUCAGGUAAACAUUAGGGAGUGAAUUGUAAUAAAUUUAUUUUUGCAGUACUGGGGAUUUCUUUUCCUUUAAUUUUUAUUGUUGGUUGUUCAAAACAUUACAUAGUUCUUGACAUGUCAUAUUUCACACUUUGAUUCAAGUGGGUUAUGAACUCCCAUUUUUACCCCGUAUACAGAUUGUAGCAUCACAUCGGUUACACAUCCACUGUUUUACAUGUUGCUAUACUAGUGUCUGUUGUAUUCUGCUGCCUUUCCUAUCCUCUACUAUCCCCCCUCCCCUCCCCUCCCCUCCCCUCCCAUCUUCUCUCUCUACCCCAUCUACUAAAAAUUUGUAACUGAACAUCUUUUUUUUUUUUUUUUGGUGGUACUGGGUAUUGAACGCAGGGCCUUGUGCAUGUGAGGCAAGCACUCUACCAACUGAGCUAUAUCCCCAGCCCUUUGAGCUAUAUCCCCAGCCCAGUACUGGGGAUUGAACCCAGAAUUUCAUAUGUGAUAGGCAAGCACUGUGCUACAUCUACAUCUUCAGAUCUUUGUUUCCCCCAUUUUAUUUUGAGAUAGGGUUUUACUCAGUUGCCUGCACUGGCCUCUAACUUAGACUCCUCCUGCCUCAGCCUCCCAAGUAAACGUUAUUAUAGUUGUGUGUAACCACAGCAUGCCUGACUAUUUUUGAUGCUUGAUUGCUGAUAUCCUUGAAACUUCACCACUUAUUUUUCCUUCUGUCCCUCAUCUGAUGAAAUCGAUAAGAAAGCCCAGGGGCUUUUUUUUUUUUUUUUAAAUUUCUUCCUUUAGAACUCACAGGAUAUUCAAACUACACAUGCCUCUUGAAGCUCAUAUGUAAGAACUCUCAGUUAAGCCCCAUCUUCCAGCCACAAUAAAAAUUGAGAAGGUCUCCUGUUUUUGCUCUGUCAAGAUGGUUUUGGAUCUGUAUGGAGCCACAGUUUCAUAUCCUGUCAGUACAAAGGUGGUGUGGUGUCAUCUGUGUCAAUACCUAAACUGAAUUUUGGUUGGGAGGUCCAUCUAUCCUCUUUAGGGUGACCACAAUAGAGAAAGGAUUUUUCUUUUCAAUAAAUACUAAGAAAGAUAAACCCCAAACAAAACUCUUCUUGUUUUUUAAAAACUAUCAUAUAUUUAUUAUAUAGAACAUAAUAAACUUCAUUUUUAAAUUUUUAUUUUUUAAAAUUGACAAAACCCAUAUAUCUUUAUGGUAUAACAUUAUAUUUUUGAAAUAUGUAUAAAUGAUGGAAUGGUUAAACUAAACUAAUUAACAUGCAUAUUACCUCACAUACUUGUUUAUUUGUGAUGAGAACACUUAACGCCUACUCUUUCAGCAAUUUCCAAGAGUGUAAUAUUGUUAUUAACAGUAGAGAACAGAAUAUACUAGAAACAUUAAUAAAGAACAAGCUGAAAAAAUUAUUUUCUUUUAUAAUAUUUUAUUCUAUACUGUGGGAAGCCAUUCCCGCACGUGAUUGGGCACCUCCCUGAUUGGGUGUCAGGCGUUCUGGUUAAACUGUGUCGGAACUAAUCCCCACCCUUUCCAGGGUCCGUGUGGAGGUGUGAAUGACCAUUGACCCUGAGACCAAUCACUGACCCUGACCUUGGAAUGCUGUCCCCCUCGACCUUCAUUGGAUGGAAUUUUCCCCUGAAUUUCUUGUUCCCCAAUAAAAGGCCACUCUCUGGCAUGCCUUGUCUCUCUCUCUCUCUCCUGCUAGUCCUGAGUAAGCCUCACUGCCCCACCGGGUGGCUCGAGGCAGGAGCCAGAGGGAGGGCUGUCUCAGACCUGGUCAAAGAAAAAGGUAAAUUGAGUUUGUGUGUUUAUUUUGAUCUCACUAGUUAACUUCUAUGCUUCAAAUCUCUUGUAUGAAGCUAGCGUGCUGGUCGCGCGGUUGACUAUACUUUUCUUUUUUUUGGUACUGGGGAUUGACCCCCAAGAGCACUUAACCACUCACUGAACCACCUCCCUUUUUUUGUGUGUAUGUGUGUGUUAAGAUAUACAUAACAGGGCUGGGGAUGUGGCUCAAGCGGUAGCGUGCUUGCCUGGCAUGCGUGCGGCCCGGGUUCGAUCCUCAGCACCACAUACAAACAAAAGAUGUUGUAUCCGCCGAAAAACUAAAAUAAAUUAAUUAAAAAAAAAGAUAUACAUAACAUAAAUUUACCAUCUUAACCAUUUUCUAAAAACUGGACUUCAUUUUAAGAGUUAUUUUAGGUUCACAGCAAAAUUGAGUGGAACCUGGUGUGUGGUAUGGUGGUGCAUAUGUGUAAUCCCAGCGACUUGGGAGGCUGAGGAAGGAGAAUUGCAAAUUUGAGACCAGCCUCAGCAAUUUAUUUUUUUAUUUUUUAUUUUUAUUUUUUUUAGAAUUUUUAAAUAUUUAUUUUUUAGUUUUCGGCGGACACAACAUCUUUGUUUGUAUGUGGUGCUGAGGAUCGAACCCGGGCCGCACGCAUGCCAGGCCAGCGCGCUACCACUUGAGCCACAUCCCCAGCCCCCAGCCUCAGCAAUUUAGUUGAGACCCUGUCCCUGGGUUCUAUCCCAGUACCUCUCCCCACAAAAAAAUUUAGGUGGAAGGUAUAGAAUAGCCUUGUUCAUAUCAGUACCAUUCCCACCAGUGGGUAAAUCUGAUAAAUCUACUUUGACAUACCAUUAUCACCUAAAGUCCCUAGUUUACAUUAUGAUUCGUGAUUCUCUCUUGGUGUUGUACAUUUUAUGGGUUUGGACAAAUUUUAUAAUGACAUAUAUCCAACACUGUAGUAUUAUAUAGAGUUGUGUCACUACUAUCAAAAUGCUGUUUGUUCCACCUGUUCGUUCCUCUUUCCCCAGCUUGUGGGGAAAAUGCAUUUACUGUAUUCAUAGUUUUUUUUUUUUUUUCAGAAUGGCAUAUACGGAAUGCAACUUUCUUCAAUUGACUUCUUUAACUUAGUAAUAUGCACUUAAGAUUCCUCCAUGUCUUUUCUUGGUUUGAUAGUUCAUUUCUUUUUAGUGCUGGAUAAUAUUCCAUUGUCUGUAUAACGAUGAGGGUCUCCUUCCUUCUUCCGUGUAAUUCCCCUUCUCCCUCCCUUUCCCUCCCACCUCUCUUCCCUAUUUAGUGAUAAUCUUUUUCUCAUACUCUUCCUCCCUAUCCCAUUUUGAGUCACCCCCCUUAUAUCAGAGAAGACAUUCGGCCUUUGUUUUUUAGGGAUUAGCAAACUUCACUUAGCAUAAUCUUCUCUAAUGCCAUCCAUUUCCCUGAAAAUGCCAUGAUCUUGUUAUUUUUUAGUGCUGAGUAAUAUUCCAUUGUGUAUAAAUGCCACAUUUUUUUUUUUAUCCAUUCAUCCAUUGAAGGUCAUCUAGGUUGGUUCCACAGUCUAGCUAUUGUAAAUUGUGCUGCUUUGAACAUUGAUGUGGCUGUGUCCCUGUAGUAUGCUCUUUUUAGGUCUUUUGAGUAUAGUCCAAGAAGGGGAAUAGUUGGGUCAAAUGGUGGUUCCAUUCCCAGCUUUCCAAGGAAUCUCCAUAUUGCUUUCCAAAUUGGCUGCACCAAUUUGCAGUCCUACCAGCAAUGUAUGAGUGUACCUUUUCCCCAAAAUCCUUUCCAACACUUAUUAUUGCUUGUAUUCCUGAGGAUAACUGCCAUUCUGACUGGAGUGAGAUGAAAUAUUAGAGUAGUUUUGGUUUGCAUUUCUCUAAUUACUAAAGAUGAACACUUUUUCAUAUAUUUGUUGAUUGCUUAUAUAUCUUCUGAGAAGUGUCUGUUCAGUUUAGCCCAUUUAUUGAUUGGGUUGUUUGUUUUUUUGGUAUUAAGUUUUUUGAGUUCUUUAUAUAUCCUAGAGAUUAGCAUUCUAUCUGAUGUGUAUGUGGUAAAAAUUUGCUCCCAUACUGUAGGCUCUCUCUUUACCUCAGUGAUUGUUUCUUUUGCUGAGAAGAAGCUUUUUAGUUUGAGCCCAUCCCAUUUAUUGAUUCUUGGUUUUAAUUAUUUUGCUAUAGGAAUCUUAUUAAGGAAGUUGGGGCCUAAUCUGAUAUGAUGAUUUGGGCCUACUCUUUCUUCUAUGAGGUGCAGGGUCUCUGGUCUAAUUCCUAGGUCCUUGAUCCACUUUGAGUUGAGUUUUGUGCAUGGGGAGAGAAAAUGGUUUAAUUUCAUUUUGCUACAUAUGGAUUUCCAGUUUUCCCCAGAAGCAUUUGUUGAAGAGGCUAUUCCUUCUCCAAUGUAUGUUUUUGGCACCUGUGUCUAGUAUGAGAUAACUGUAUUUAUGUGGGUUGGUCUCCGUGUCUUCUGUUCUGUACCGUUGGUCUAUAUAUCUAUUUCUUGCCAAUACCAUGCUGUUUUUGUUACUGUUUCUCUGUAGUAUAGUUUAGGGUCUGGUAUUGUGAUGCCUGCUGCUUCACUUUUUUUGCCAAAGAUUACUUUGGGUAUUCAGGGUCUCUUUCCAAAUGAAUUUCAUGAUUGCUUUUUCUAGUUCUAUGAAGAAUGUCAUUUGGAUUUUAAUAGGAAUUGCAUUAAAUCUGUGUAACAGUUUUGGUAGUAUGGCCAUUUUGACUAUUAAUUCUGCCUACCCAAGAAUAUGGGAGAUCUUUCCAUCCUCUAAGGUCUUCUUCAAUUUCCUUCUUUGGUGUUCUGUAGUUUUCAUUGUAGAGGUCUUUUACCUCUUCUGUUAGAUUGAUUCCCAAGCAUUUUAUAUUUUUUGAGGCUAUUUUGAAUGGGGUAGUUUUCCUAAUUUCUCUUGCAGUGGAUUCAUCACUUGUGUAUAGAAAUGCAUUUGAUUUAUGGGUAUUGAUUUUAUAUCCUGCUACUUUGUUGAAUUCAUUUAUUAAUUCUAGAAGUUUUCUGGUGGAGUUUUUUGAAUCUUCUAAAUAUAGAAUCAUGUCGGCAUAUAGAGUUUGAGUUCUUCUUUUCCUAUGCAUAUCCCUUUAAUUUCUUUUGUCUGAUUCCUCUGUAGUAUUUUAAUUUUUUCUAAAGUAUUUUUUUUUAGUUAUAGAUGGACCUUUAUUUUAUGUAUUUAUAUGCAGUGCUGAGGAUUGAACCCAGGGCCUCACACAUGCUAGGCAAGCACUCCACCACUGAACCACAACCCCAGCCCCUUAAUUUUUUCUUGAUAGCCACAUGUGAUAAACUGAGUAAAAGAAAUUGCUGUAAAUAUGUCUUCAAUAACAUGGUGUAAGAUGUCGGGGAAGGGAGAUAUUCUGUAGCCUGUGCCUCUGGAAUGUGUACUUCAUUUGUGAAUUUCAAUUUUUCUCUCUCCCUCUUAAUUGGAUCAGGAUUAUCUGAGUGGGUUGGAGUUGGAAUUUUCCUUUGCACAGGUUAGUUAAGCUCUGAUGAAAUGACCUGGGAUGUGCCUAGUGGCACAUAUCUGUAAUUCCAGUGGCUGGGGAGGCUGAGGCUGGAGGACCACAAGUUCAAAGCCAGCAUCAGCAAUUUAGCAAGGCCCUAAGCAACUCAGUGAGAGACACUGUCUCUAAAUAAAAUACAAAAAGGGGUGAGGGGGUGCGGCUCAGUGGUUAAACACCUUGAUGCCAAAAUAAACAAACAAAAAAAAAAACCUCCCAGACUAACAACCAGUGUGUUAAGCUCUGGUUAAACAUUUCUCCUGAGGGCAGACCUUUUUAAGAAUGGAAUAAUGGUGUCUUUCAAAACUUGCCUUUGCUGUAUGUUCAGUGGGAGGACUUAGAGCUUUAGGAGGUAAAACUCAUAAAAGUGUGGAUCCCUUAUACUGGGUUUCCCUGAAGUAUUUAACUCUCAGAGUUGUCCACUCUGAGCUUACAGCAAUUCAUCAUUUACAGUUCAGGUUUUCCUACCACAUGAGUUUCUGCUCUAGUUGUGAUUCUUUGUAUUCACCUGUUGGGCUCUUCAAUUUUGGAGGCAACAGUUUGCCCUGUGAUCUCACUUCUCUUUUUUUUGGUGGUACUGGGGAUUAAACCUAGGGGCCCUUUACCACUGAACUACAUCCCCAACCCCUUCUAAAAAAAAAUUUUUUUUUUUGAUACAGGGUCUCACUAAGUUGCCCAGAGUGGCCUUGAACUUGUGAUCUACCUGCCUAAGCCUCCCAAGUGGCUGGGAUUAUUACAGGCAUGUGCUGCCACAACCACAAUUUAUGGAUGGAUCUAAGAAGAAUUGCUGAUUUUUCAGUUUGUUUGGUUUUUUACUUUUUGUUAGGAUGGGGUACCAGCUUAAAGCUUCCUAUAUGCUGGACUGGAAAUUGGAAGUUUAGACUAUUAAAUAUAUUCAUAUUGUUGUGCACCAUUACCACCGUGCAUCUUUAGAACUCUUCAUUUUGCAAAACUAAAGUUUUAUCCUCAUUAAACAGUAACUUAUUUCCCUCUCCAACUACCCCUGACAACCACCAUUCUGCUUUCCAUUUCCAUGAAUUUGAAAUACUCUAGGUAUUUUCUAUAAGCGGAAUCAAACAGUAUUUGUUUUAUUUUGUUUUUUGUGACUUCCUUAUUUCAUUUAGCAUGAGGCCCUUUAGGCCUGUGUUUUAUUAUGUUUUGAAAAAGCUUGAGGGAGACUAGUAUUGUUUUUUUAAAAUGUUUGGUAGAAUUCACCAAUGAAGCCAUGAGGUCCUAGGCUUUUCUUUCUUGGAAGAUAUUUGAUUACUGAUUCAGUCACCUUGAUAGUUAUAAGUCCUCUCAAAUUUUCUAUUUUUUCAAGAUUCUGCCUUGGUAAGUUUUGUGUGUUGGGGAAUUUGUUCAUCUAGCUUAUUCAAUUUGGCACAUAAUGUUCAUAGUUAUAACCUUUCAUAUUUUUGUAGAAUUGAUAGUAAUGCCUUCCCCCUUUGAUUUCUGAUUAAGUAAUUUGAAUGAUCUCUCUUCUUAUCUUAAUCUGGUUAAGGGUUUGUCAGUUUUGUUGACCUUUGACGAAAUCAGCUUUUAUCAUUGAUUUUUUUCUCUAGUUUUUGGUUUUUUAAAUUUCAGUUAUUCUUGAUCUAAUUUUAUUUCUUUCCUUCUGCUAGCUUUGGUUUAGUUCUUAUUUUUCCAGCAUCUUAUACUGUAAAGUUAGGUUGUUGAUUUUAGAUUUUUCUUCUUUUUCAACAUAAAUGUUGAUGUGUAUAACUUUCCUUUUUUACAGUGCUUUAAAUGUGUUACAUAGUAUAAAUAUGUUGUAUUUAAAUUUUUGUUCAUUUCUAAGUAUUAUCUAAUUUCCAUCGUGAUUUCUUCUUUGCUAUGUUGAUUGUUUGAAUAUUUUGACUAUUUGCAUAAAUUUGUAAUUUUUCCAGUUUUCCUUUUGUUUUUGAUUACUAACUUCAUUUUAUUGUGAUUACAGAAGAUGCUUUGAUAUUUUAAAAAAGGAAUUUUGAUUCUUAUCUUAGGUUGUAUUCAAAUAAGACUAUAGGCCUACCUGAAAAAAUUUUCUAAACUGUGAAACUUCUAAAAAAUAGUGAAAUUUUUUUGUGACUUCAGGUUAGUAAGCAAAUAUUUCUUAUGACACCAAAAGUAUGAAUUAUAAAAGAAAAAUGGGGUAAAUCUGGGUAAAGGUAAAUUGGGACUUCUUCAAAAUUAAAACUUCACUCAUAGAGAAUGAACAGAAGAUACAGACUGGGAGAAACUUUUACAAGGCAUAUAUCAUAUAGAGGACGUGUACUUUUAUAGGACACUCAGCCAGGGCAGGUGGAGCAUACCUGUAAUCCCUGAUUUGAGAGACUAAAGCAGGAAAAUCACAAGUUCAAGGCUUUCUAAGUUCAGAAACUUAGCAAAACCCUAACCAUCUUAGUGAGAUCCUGUUUCAAAAUAAAAGGACCAAAAGGGUUAGGGGUGUGGCUUAGUUGUUAAGUGCCUCUGUGUUCAAUCUCCAGCAUAAAUAAAUAAAUGAAUGAAUAAAUAACUCAAAACUCAAUAGUAACAGUCUGAUUAAAAAAUGGGCAAAUGUUUGCAUAGAUAACUUCACCAAAGUUGAUAGUGGCAGAUAAGCACACGAAAAGAUGCUCAACAUCUUAAUCAUUAGGGGACUGCAAAUACCAUGAAGAGAUCUCACUACCCAUUUAUUAGAAUGGCUAAAAUUGAAAAGACCAAACAAUUGAAAAGACUUAAGUAUUGUUAAGGAUAUGUAGGAGUUGGAACACUCAAACACUACUGAUGAGAAUACAGAAUGGUACAACUACUUUUAAAAAAAAGUUUGGCAGUUUCUUAAAAUAUUAAACACCAACUUACCAUAUGAUUUAGCCAUUCUACUUUUAGCUAAUUUAUCAAAAACCAAAAACCUAAAACAAACAAACAAACAAAAACACUAGAACAACAACACUUGUGUCUGCACAUAGACUUGUAUAUAGAUUUGUAUGUUAAUGUUCAGAGAAGCUUUAUUUGUAGUUGCCCUAAAGUGGAAACAGUCUAAAUGUACAUGAAUAAAUGGACCAUAGCCUUAUGAUGGAGUUCUUUUCAGCAAUUAAAAAAAAAAACUUGUUACUUGCAACAACAUGGACAAAUCUCAAAAUAACUAUGCUGAAUGAAAGAAGCUAAACAACAACAACAACAACAAAAAGAUUAGGAACUUGUUUUCAUUUAGAUAAAACUGGAACAUUUAAACUAAUCUAUACUGACAGCUGGUUAAUUCUUGUCUGAGGAUGGUAGAAAGGGAGUUAAAGAAAGGUAGGAGGGAAUGAUUUCAGUAUGAUGAUGGCUACAUUCCCGGUCUUGCUUGUGGUCAUGGUUUCACAGGUAUAGACAUAUGCCUAAAUUUACCAAAUUGUAUAUUUUAAAUAUGUGUAGUUUAUUGUAUGUUCAGUAUACCUUAAUAAGGCUUUAAAUAAUAGAAUAAAAAUUCUAUUUCUAAAAAUAUGUAUAAAUUAUAAACUGCUUCAGGUAGAAUAGAUUUUUAUGAUAUUUGUUCUAGAUCUUUCCUAGAGCAGAGAAUUGGAGAACCUUUUUUUUUUGUUCUCCAAGUUUUGAACGUUUUUUACCUUGUUCCUUUCCUCCAGAUAAUAAUAAAUAAUACUUUGCCUCUUCUGUUAUGCUUGAACUCAGGCUCAUUUUAGUUGUUAUGCUUUAUCAUCAGUAAUUAAUCUGUGUUUUAAGUCUUUUCCCUUUCCCCAAUUUGAAAGGUCCAUCAAAUUUUAUCUCUUUUUUUUUAAAUCCUUUUUAAAUACCUAUCAUCAUUACAGAACAGGUCAACAACCUUUCAUUCAUGGAUUAAUGUAAUAAUUUCCUAACCAGUCCUUUUCUCGUCUAAUCCAUUUUCUGACUGUUAUCAGACUAACAGUUGGGAAAAUAAUGUUGUGCUUCACAUUUUUCAGCAGGCCACUCAUGUUAGCAUUACUAAGCAUCCACUGUGUGAAUGGAACUGUAAAGGAUUAGGAAUAGGAAAAUGGGAAGCUUAAAAGGAUAGGAUACUUCUCAAUUAUUUAUUUAUUUAUUUAUUUUGCUGUGGGUUGAACUCCAGGGUCUCUAGAAUGCUAAUAAGCAUGUGCUCUACCACUGAGCUAUAUCCCCAGCCCCAUUUCAAAUAAUAUUUAUGAAGAAGUGGAGUUUAAAUAUAAAUGUGAUUUUUACCUGUAACAUUGUUUUGUCAAAGAGAACACACUUGAGGCAUUUAAUGAAUAGCAAAAUAGUAAAAUAUUUUUCCUUCCCCCCCCCUUUCUAGGUUCCUGUUGCAUGUAAAUCUUGUCCCUGUGGUUACAUAUUUAUUAAUCGGAAGCUUCUAAAAAUAAAACACUCAGAGAAAUCAUCACCUUUUACAGGUAAUUUUGAGAGUUUACCACCUUUCCACUUUUUUUCAUUUCAGUUAUAUAAAUUUAAGAUUAAUUUUUGUGAGUUAAAGUUUAGUUUUGCUACUGAGGUUAAAAUGUUAGUUUAUGGACAUAUUAUUGUUUUUUGUUAGAUAUAAUAAGUCAGUUUAUGACACUGGUUUGUUUUUUAUCCACUGUAAGUGUUAACUCCGUCACAAUGCUGAUAAAGCUUGUAAGGAAUUUUAUUUUUAUUUUUUAAGCUUGUAAAGAAUUUUAAUGAGAAAUUUCAAUUUGCCAAGGAAGUUAAAUGGGAAAGAAUAGUAUUUUCAACAGAUGGUGUUGAGAUACCAUGAUAUAUAUCUACAUGUGAAAAAUGAUAUUGGGCCCUUAUCUUUGAAGAUACUAAAAAAUUAACUUUAAAUAGAUCAUAAAAAG
rnacentral:lncRNA from 1 species